rnacentral:lncRNA from 1 species
CAACUUCGCCCCAGAACUUAGAUUCUUGUUUCUCGAAAGGGUAGGAAGGAAAUUCUUUCUCCAAGCUUGUAAGAUUGUCCCAAAAUCCAUAAUCACCAUCUCCGAAAUCCAACAUGACUUCUGCAUCAGCGGCAGCCUUUCGAAAAUUAUUCAUCAGUUGAACAGUCUUCGAUGGCAACACAGCAUCAACAAGAUUGUUUUUGGCUUUGGUGCACGCACUGGAAUUGACUUCUGCAACAGAAGCAGCCUUUCGAAAAUUACUCAUCACUUGAACAUUCUUCGAUGGCAACACAGCAUCAACAAGAUUGUUUUUGGCUUUGGUGCACGCACUGGAAUUGACUUCUGCAACAGAAGCAGCCUUUCGAAAAUU